rnacentral:tRNA from 1 species
GGAGGCUUUAGCUUAAUUAAAGUGUCUGAGUUGCAUUCAGGAGAUGCGUAUUAAGGUUAUGCAGGCCUUC